CACAGAUAAACAACCAGCACCAGCACAACAAAGCUCUAACCCCACAGCACAGGAAACAGUUGCAAGCAUUAUGCCUGCACCUCCUCUGGUCUACAGCGUCCUGGACUUUCCCAAAAGAACUUCAGCAGUUAUGGAGAUGAAUUCAAGUCAAACAGAGUACGCUGCCAUCAGUUAUCUCCCAGAGAAGAGACAAGGGUGACCUGCAGAUGAAUGUAAGCCAGGCGGCCUUUCUUGGUUUGGGUAUACAGAUGCUUAUAUGAAUGUAUUUUAACAGCACAAUGACGAAUCCUCACAGUCUGUAUGCCCAUUGUCAUAAUUUACAAGCAAAACAGGUCAUGAGGGAAAGAGUCUCUUGGGUUGUGAGUAUUGAGGUGUCCCUUUUGUUUUUGGUGGGCGUAAGAUUCAAAUGUUCAUAGCCGUUGCAACAAA